rnacentral:rRNA from 1 species
CAGUAGCCGCGGGAAUACAGAGGGUGCGAGCGUUAAUCGGAUUUACUGGGCGUAAAGCGUGCGUAGGCGGUGAGUUAAGUCUGCUGUGAAAUCCCCGGGCUCAACCUGGGAAUGGCAGUGGAUACUGGCUCGCUAGAGUGUGUCAGAGGAUGGUGGAAUUCCCGGUGUAGCGGUGAAAUGCGUAGAGAUCGGGAGGAACAUCAGUGGCGAAGGCGGCCAUCUGGGACAACACUGACGCUGAGGCACGAAAGCGUGGGGAGCAAACAGGAUUAGAUACCCCGUAGUCCUUGUCUCUUAUACA